GAUCAUGCUCAGGACGAACGCUGGCGGCGCGCCUAACACAUGCAAGUCGAACGAGCGAGAGAGAGCUUGCUUUCUCAAGCGAGUGGCGAGCGGGUGAGUAACGCGUGAGGAACCUGCCUCAAAGAGGGGGACAACAGUUGGAAACGACUGCUAAUACCGCAUAAGCCCACGACCCGGCAUCGGGUAGAGGGAAAAGGAGCAAUCCGCUUUGAGAUGGCCUCGCGUCCGAUUAG
rnacentral:rRNA from 1 species